rnacentral:tRNA from 1 species
GGCAAUGUAGCUUAAUGGUAGAGCGGAGCUUUCAUAUGGCUCAGGUACAGGUUCGAUUCCUGUCAUUGCUU